ensembl:lncRNA
AUCUUUCAAUAUUGCUUAACAAAAGGCUGGGAGUUAGGGCACUGGCCGGAAGUCUGACUAGCUGCGGGAUGGCCCCAUUCUGGAGCAGUGGAAACGAUGGGCACCAUCUGUGCAUGAAUCAGAAGAGCCCUGGAGAGUCCCAACAGGACACGUCUUCAGAUAUGUGCACGAGCAUGAGUACACGCAUGACCUCUCGGCCCAGAGUAUACAGUAGACGUGGGGGGAAGGGGGCAGGCAGAGGGGAGCUGCUCUGACAGAUCAGAACAGUCCUCCUCACACUCAUACCUCAGAGCCCCUGGCCGCUGCGCUGCCAGGGAAGGAGCACAGCUGCUGUGACAGAGAAGACACUGAACGUAGCUCUGGGGAAGCCUGUAGCCACUGCAACGCUGAGGCCUAAGACAGGUUUGUCACAAAGGCAGCAUGGAGUGCAGGCUUACAGGGCUGGGGUAGGGCAACACUCUCCCAGUGUGCUCAACACCAUCAGGACGGGUGGGCUCUCCUGUGGCUUAAAGCUACUCAUAUGAGAAGAUCAGGUUGGUGGGCCUAAAGGCAGAUUUAAUCCAGUGCUACAUUUCCUCUAACUUCCCCUAUAGCCAGUGCUUGCCCAUCGGCUGGAGAAUGCCUCAGGGGCAGGGCAAUUUAGGGCAUGGGGUUGUGAGCUCUCCUGUUACACCCCCAUGGAAGGACAGCAUCUGUUGGAGCAGAGAUUCUCCUUCAGGGUUCUCUUCCUCCUGACUCUGUCAUACCUGGCCCCUCCCAUGUGCUGUAUGGGUGUCACCCACAUGAUGACCAUGGAUAUGGCUUGAUUGCAGAGAGCAGAUAGUGCUGGGAACCCUCUCAACUUUUACAUCAGCACCCAUCUCUGCCUCAAGGUGGAGAUCCAAUUUCAGGGGCCUCUUCACGGGAGCUGGCUUCCGUGGGAAUGCUGGGUGCUGGGCAGCACGAGGGGUGAAAAGCUUUCACUUUAAUUGAAGUCGACCCGCUCCAGGAUCUCCAUCAUCAAGCACAUGAGUUUCACUGGGAAUAGGGCUUUAGAGCGGAGGUCGGUGGCAUCUUCAGGGUGGAAUCAGGUGAACAGGAUUCUAAUUUGGUUUCUCAAUUAAACAGCAGAGACUGAGGUAAAUGGGACCAGGGAAUUCUUGGGUCCUCGGGGAAGGCCUAAGAAGAGACCGCGUGGUCACCGUGUGGGAAGCUGGAGGAGCCAGCUUCCGGUCCACAGGCUCUGCCUGCCUUAGGCACAGAUGUAUCAGCUUCCUUCUACUCCACCCUUGCUCUCCUGGGUGGGAAAGCCUCAGCUACACCCCACGUCCUCAGGAAGGGCAGCAGGUGUCCAAGCAGGGAUUCUCUUCCAGGCUCCUCCUCUUCCCCACCCUAGCUCCUCCCCUUGUGCUGUGGACCUCACCGCUUUCCCCAUUUGGGGUUAGGAGGCAGGCGGUGGAGAAUCUGCUCAAAUGACUGUGCGACAAGGUGUUAAUGAAUAACAAGAGUCCCAUGAACUAGGCCACAUUUCUUAACCUCAACGUUUGCACCUCUAUUUUAAGCAAUUUAGAAAAAGCCAUGGGUCUGAGUGGGAAGAAUUUGCUGUGGGGCUAGUCUGGAUGCCAGGUGUCCCACACUCACAGGGUUUGGUGAUCAGCCACUCUGGGUGCACUCAUUAGAUGAUUCCC